CAGCAGCCGCGGGAAUACGAAGGGUGCAAGCGUUACUCGGAAUUACUGGGCGUAAAGCGUGCGUAGGUGGUGGUUUAAGUCCGUUGUGAAAGCCCUGGGCUCAACCUGGGAAUUGCAGUGGAUACUGGGUCACUAGAGUGUGGUAGAGGAUAGUGGAAUUUCCGGUGUAGCAGUGAAAUGCGUAGAUAUCGGAAGGAACACCUGUGGCGAAAGCGGCUCACUGGACCAUAACUGACGCUGAUGCACGAAAGCUAGGGGAGCAAACAGGAUUAGAUACCCCCGUAGUCCCUGUCUCUUAUAA
rnacentral:rRNA from 1 species